rnacentral:ncRNA from 1 species
UGAAGUUUGGUCCUAACUUUCUUGUCAUCUUUAGCUGAGCUUACACAUGCAAGUAUCCGCACCCCCGUGAGAAUGCCCUAAUAGUUCCCCUACUCGGGAACAAGGAGCCGGUAUCAGGCCUAACAUCACGUUACACACCUUUGACACCUUGCUAAGCCACACCCCCAAGGGGAUCCAGCAGUGACAGACCUUCAGCAAUAAGUGAAAACUUGACUCAGCUACAGCUAAUAGGGCUGGUAAAUCCCGUGCCAGCCACCGCGGUUACACGAGAAGCCCAAGUUGACAAGAACCGGCGUAAAGAGUGGUUGAGCCAUACUUAACAUAUUAAAGUCGAAUAUCCUCUCGACAGUCAUACGUAGACAGAGGACAUGAAGUUCUAAGACGAAAGUAACUUUAUAUUCAUCUGGCCCACGAAAGCCCGGACACAAACUGGGAUUAGAUACCCCACUAUGCCCGGCCUUAAACUCUGAUAGCCAACCCUAUCCGGCUAUCCGCCCGGGUACUACGAGCAAGAGCUUGAAACCCAAAGGACUUGGCGGUGCUUGAAACCCCCCUAGAGGAGCCUGUUCUAUAACCGAUGACCCCCGUUCAACCUCACCUUCUCUUGUCAAUACCGCCUGUAUACCGCCGUCGCCAGCUCACCUCAUGAGAGUUUCCUAGUGAGCACAAUCGUCACCACACCAUGACGUCAGGUCGAGGUGCAGCGAAUGAGGAGGCAAGAAAUGGGCUACAUUUCCCUAACAGGAAAUUACGGAUAGUAAUAUGAAACUAUUACAUUGAAGGAGGAUUUAGCAGUAAAUGAGAAAUAGAGUGUCUCAUUGAAAAUGGCCCUAAAGCACGUACAUACCGCCCGUCACUCUCUCCGGGACAGAUCACUUAUACUCAAAUUAAGUAUUAAGCAGAUUAUAUUGUAGGAGAGACAAGUCGUAACAUGGUAAGUGUACCGGAAGGUGCACUUGGU